rnacentral:rRNA from 1 species
CAGUCGCCGCGGUAAUACGGAGGGGGCUAGCGUUGUUCGGAAUUACUGGGCGUAAAGCGCACGUAGGCGGCUUGGUAAGUUAGAGGUGAAAGCCCAGGGCUCAACCCUGGAAUUGCCUUUAAGACUGCCGAGCUAGUAGGUGAGAGAGGUAAGUGGAAUUCCGAGUGUAGAGGUGAAAUUCGUAGAUAUUCGGAAGAACACCAGUGGCGAAGGCGGCUUACUGGCUCAUUCUAGACGCUGAGGUGCGAAAGCGUGGGGAGCAAACAGGAUUUGAUACCCCCGUAGUCCCUGUCUCUUAUAC